UACAGAGGGGGCAAGCGUUGUUCGGAAUUACUUGGCGUAAAGGGCGCGUAGGCGGCCUUCUAAGUCGAACGUGAAAUCCCCAGGCUUAACCUGGGAACUGCAUCCGAUACUGGAUGGCUUGAAUCCGGGAGAGGGAUGCAGAAUUCCAGGUGUAGCGGUGAAAUGCGUAGAUAUCUGGAGGAAUACCGGUGGCGAAGGCGGCAUCCUGGACCGGCAUUGACGCUGAUGAGCGAAAGCUAGGGGAGCAAACGGG
rnacentral:rRNA from 1 species